GGCUGACUUAGGGUCCGUUGUGUAUACGUAGUACAUCUCAGUAUCCACUCGUCUGUGGACGGGCGUUCUGUUUGCUUCCAUGUCUUUGCUGUUGUAAACAGUGCUUCAGUGAAGGAACAGGCCUGCUGGUACCGGCACUUCCAGCCUCACGGAGCCUGUCCUCUGCUCCGAGUGUCUGCUCCCAGAUAUUCCACCAACAUGUAAAGACUCCAAGGGCAGAAGGCCCUGUCACAGCGUCCUCUUGUUCUCCAUCGUGUCCGGGCAGCGCCUUCGCUCCCUUGGUGCUCACGUCUUUUUGGCAUGAAUGAAUGUCUCCACGUCCACUGCCACGAUUCAUGUCAAGAGCCACAGUCCCGACGUCUCCUGGCCUUUACGCUCCCGUAGCCCAGAAGUAUUGUCUUACAACAUCCUGCAGGAAUCUUUACCGUGCGGCCUGGGAGCAGAGAAUGCUGGUGGCAGGCAUCGAUGCCUAGGAUCAAUAUCACUGAGGUCAACAAGCAAGAUUUUCCCAGUAGUAACUUCACUGCAGACAGAGACAGAGGGAGGAAAUCUGCCGGAGGUCCCCAAACCAUGCAGCUGCGUGGGCUGAGAGCAGAAUAUUUCUACCACAUCGUUAUCCAUUCAUCUGUCAGUGGACAUUUUGCUACUGUAAACAGUGCUGCAGGGAAUCUUGUGAGCAUGUGCCUUUUCGAAGUGUGGUUUUCCCUGGACAGACACCCAGGAGUGGAACUACUGAAUCAUCUGGCAGGCAUCUGGAAUCCCAGCUUCCCGACAAGAGAUCAAAGCCUCAUCCUCUACAUUGGAAAGCGAAGCCUGAAGCAUCGAACCACCAGUGAAGUACCUCUUCUAAGAUUUUUAAGGAACCCCCACACUGAUCUUCCUAGAGGCUGUUACCACUGACAUGGCCACCAGAAGCCGGGGGUUUCCCUUUUAUCC